CGUUUGGAGCCCUUCGGACACCUGCAGUUUUUCUCGCUCGCUUGCUCGCCCUUGACCGCGGUAUGGUCCAUGUCUACCUACGUGGAGGAAGGAUGCAGACUGUGGAUCCGUUUUUACCUCGCUCUCUUCAAUGUCUCCCUAGUUUGUGUUUUCUCUAGACUGGUGCUUGCUGAAUCUGGUCGUCGAGCAGACUUUUGGAGAUCCUAUGGGUUGGUGGAACACACUCCGAGUUUCUGCGUGUGGUCUGCUUCUUCCAUUCAUCACUACCCUCUUCAACGUUUUGUAGGACUUUCGUGGUUUGGAGGAAUUCGGGGUCGCUGUCGCUUGCAGGUGGUUGCAAAGGAGGCAAUGUCGGAGAUUUGUGCAUGAUGGAUUUAGUAUUUCCAGGGGAUGACGUGGCGCUGGCUGUGGAGGAUUUUCCUUUGCUGUCCGUUUCUGUUACUGUUGCCGAUAAAUGUCUCUGUGGUUGUGAAUGGACAAUCAUCCCCCACAGUUUUAAUAUUGGAUUCAUAGCCAAUGAUGGGGUUCGACGAAGGUAUAUUUUAAAAAAGAAAGACUUUUGCAUUACAUUCAAAGCCUGCAAGACUAUAAGUUUGCGUGACAAAGCGCGAUAUACGAGCAAGGAAGUUCAAAACAAGCACAGCGCAGAUGACAGGGUUGGCAAUGCCUUCCAUCUUCGGCACCCGAUGUGAGCAUAUCGACUGGCCGCCUCAGGUCACCAAACGUCAAGAAUAAUCAGACACAAGCUUCGAGCUCCUCUUCAAACUGCUUUUGAAAGACAUCAUCGUCAGUUGAAUCGGUGCCCAUGUCUGAAAAAACAGACGUGCAUCCAUUCCGGUUCGUACGUCGCUCACUCAAACUGAGUGCCUAUUUGCAGGAGCGAUGUGUUUGCAGGAAGCUCUGCUGCAGGGUCUCGCAUCAGAUGUGAAGCACGAUGACACUAUUUAGACUCAGCAUCCUCGUAUGCUGUUUUAAGGUAUGCACUGGGCGGAUCGAGCGACAUCGUUGUCGGUACCUGAGCUAUCAGACUGAACUUAAAGUCGCCAGGCUCCACUACCUUAGAUCGGUCUUGAGAAUGUGCGGGCAAAGGUGUGGGGUGAUGCACUAACUUGAGGGAGCGGUGGGUAAGUUUGGUAUGUAUGGCACUGCGGUGGAUUUGUGCUGGAGAUUAUCAACAUGACUGCGUGGUUCCCAGUGCAGAAAAACCGUUAAACGGCAUUCUAAUAAGACCUUCCUUUGGGGAUGGGGGAUGGUUCAACGACAUAUUAAAGCUGGAGCUUUGGUGGAGCUUCUGUUCCUGACAGAUCCUUCCAGAACAAUACUGCUCAUCAAUGCCUCUGCGUCGGCAUUCAAUGAUUCAGUCUGCGGCAGCAUGAAUGUGGGGAGCUGCCGUUCUCAUCGUCCGUUAGUGAUUAGGCUGCGGCGUCGUCAACCCCUUUCGGCUCCCACAGUGAUGAGCUCACGUUGCCAUUUAGACUCUUUUAUUUUGUUUUUUGUUUUUAUUUUUUAUUUUUAUUUUAUUCUUCUGUUCUCCCACUUUCCCGCUUACCUGUUUUGAUUCAGUUCAAAGUUUGCAUUAAAAACAAAAACAAAACGGUUUGGAAAAUGCAGCAGGCCGGGAUCCAUCUUCAUUUCUUUAUACAAACGGUAUGAAAUAUGAAUUAGUCUGGAAACAAAUUAAGCAUCUUGACAUGGCUCUGUGUAUUGUCAUUAUUGUAGAUGGGUGGUCUGUUGCUCUGUAAUCAAGCGCGACAUGGAAUUAUACUGGAAUUUUCAUACUGCUACUGGAUGAGUUACAAAAAGUACCAGAAGUUAAUGCAGUAGUUCUUGAUUGAACCAUUGCGAUUGAAAUUUCUGUAAAAGUUUGUUUUUAAUGCACCA